rnacentral:rRNA from 1 species
UCUGAAAAGAUAUAGAAGGUCCAGCCUGCCCAGUGACAAAGUUAAACGGCCGCGGUACCCUAACCGUGCGAAGGUAGCGCAAUCACUUGUUCUUUAAAUAAGGACUAGUAUGAAUGGCAUCACGAGGAUUAUUCUGUCUCCCCCUUUUAAUCAGUGAAACUGAUCUCCCCGUGAAGAAGCGGGGAUUAUUUUAUAAGACGAGAAGACCCUAUGGAGCUUUAAACUUACGCCACUUACCUUAAAUAAUUUCAUAGUAAAUAGGUAAAGCCUGUGUGCCGGUUUUCGGUUGGGGUGACCACGGAGUAAAGCAAAACCUCCAUGCUGAAAAGAUACCUUUCUUAAUCCAAGAACAACAUUUCAAAGAAUCAGAAUACUGACAUAAUUGAUCCAAACAAUUUGAUCAACGAAC